CCGCCAUGUUAUACCGGUCACCUUCAGAGAGACGAGCGGAACCUGCUGGGUCCUAGCGCCCGCUCGAUGCACAGAGAGCGGAAGCAACCAGGUCCUGCUGACACCGCCAGCAGCGCAGCG